UUCGAGCAAGGUAGGGUUGGAUGUUGUCGGUUUCAAUUCGAUUUUUUCAAACAUUGAUGAUGAGGUUCAUAAUUUACUAUCUCUGAUAUUUUCUGUUUUAUGCUUUUUUUUUGUUAUUUCAAUUUCCUUCAACAUUUGUGCAUUUUAUACACAUUUCUUGCUUACCAUUGCAAUAUGUUAUGUCUUGUUUAAUGCAAUUCUUUCCAUUUAUAAAUUUAUUCCAUUUACAUUUGGUUUGUCAUUUCACAAUCUUGUUGGACCAUUUUUUAUGUUCAUAAAUGUUAAUUUUUUUUGGUUGCAUUUCAUUUUUCUUGUUGCAAUUUACUCCAAAUAAAGGCUACAUUAAGAUGUGGCCUCUGACUUGUCUGCUCUGUUUUCUUUAUUGUAAACUCCAUCCAUGUAAGCCUUUGUCAAUUUCCGUAUAUGUGCACUAUAUUUGUCUUUUGGUUUCGAUCUGCCUUUGCUUAUGCAUCGUCUAUGAAGGAAUGGAAUUCCCAUAGCGGAAGUGUGUGAACGUCGUCCAAAAGAAAUUCAAUUUGAAACACAUAGAAAACUUACCAAUGAACACCAUGAGCAGCACCACAGAAUCUUCCUUGUUAUUCUCAAGAUAAAAAAAACACACAGAGUUUGUGGGCGUUCUGUGUUUUUGUUUUGUUUUAAAGGGAAAAAAAAUUGCAGAGAGAAUUUUUAAGAGAUUGUAU
rnacentral:lncRNA from 1 species